rnacentral:lncRNA from 1 species
GAGUUAGUGUAUUUUUAAACUGAGUUUUUGUCACGAGGGUGAAAUCACGUAACCGCUGUUUGUAAACGUUGUUUCUAUUCCGAUUAGAAUCCUAUUAGCGGCAGUGGUUGUUUUCGCGAGUCUGCUCGCGUGAGCAGUUAAAACAAUCGUCAAAUCCGCAAGUGACGAAAUGUCUGUUUCGCGUGAUUUUUGCAGCUGAUGAUGCGGUGUAAUAGAAUUUUCCCCCUACUUAUGGCUGUCUCGUUUCGUUUAAAUUUCUAUCAUGACUCUUAAGGUUAGUUUAAUAGCCCGGUUGUCACCAAUAAAGAAAUAUUUACCCACAGAUGGAGCCACUGAACAGAAAGUUGAACGGAUUUUUGCUAACAUGCUGGUUUCUUUCUUUUUUUUUCUAUUGAAUAGACUUUUUCGAUGUUUUUUUUCAUACAAAGCAUUAAAUUUACCGAAAUCUUCAUGGGGAAUUAAUUAUUUCGUAUAGGUUAUGUGCCACUUUAUCUUCUCAGCUUUCGUGCCC